GGCAGAUGAUGUCUUUUUCACGAUGGUCUUCAGAUAUCUACCAUAGGCACUGUUGAGAAAGACAGAUGGCAAGGCUGAUGCCAAAAA